rnacentral:misc_RNA from 1 species
CUUUACUUCAUGGCUUAUCUCAUUAGCUUGAUCUAUGACAGAUUCAAUUAAAGACUCUGUCUCUUUUCCCACUCCUUCUACCUUUUCAAUGACUUCUAGUGCCAGAUGAGCAUCCUUUGCUGUUUCUUUGGCUACAUUUUCAAUGAAAGUUACAGAUUCUUUAAGCUUCCCACCUUCCGGCAGAUGAUCGGCGACCUCUUCCGAUACCUUCUCCACUUCCUCAGCCACCUUUUCUAAAAUUUCAGUUACAUGCUCUGCGGUUUCCACCACUGAUUCAACUCUGUCUUUUAAUUUCAAUAAUGGCCACCAUUUGUUUCUCCAAAAGGGAAUAAUCACAGUUAUUAUCAUUCCCAAAAUCCACAUUUUCCAAGAACCAGAAGAAGGAUCGGAAGGAAGAGCUGGUUCUGG